GAUGAAGAACGCAUCGAAAUGCGAUAAUUAAUGUGAAUUGCAGAAUUCCGUGAAUCAUCGAGUCUUUGAACGCACAUUGCGCCUCAUGGCAUUCCGUGAGGCAUGCCCAUCUCAGCGUUAGAAAAUAUUCUCAAAUUUUAGUUUUGUGCUAAAAUUUGGAUCAUGUCAAAGAAGCUAUUACUAUUAUUGUGAUCGCUCUUUGGAAAUUGAUAGGUCUUUGAGUUGCUACUCAUAGAACGUGAUGAAUCUUUCUUCGUUCUAUUGUAAUUCACUCUGGUAGUCCUAAAACUUGUAUGCCUGUGGCAUAUCUUGUAAUUUGACCUGAGAUUGGGUAGGGAUACCCGCUGAACUUAAGCAUAUCAAUAAGCGGAGGA
rnacentral:misc_RNA from 1 species